rnacentral:lncRNA from 1 species
GUCCUUCGAUGAUGUGGCUGUGAACUUCACCAUGGAAGACAGGGCUUUGUUAGAUCUAUUCUAAAAGAAGCUCUACAGAGAUGUGAUGUUGGAAAACUUUAGGAAUGUAGCUGCUAUAGGGAGAAACUGGGAUUGAAGAUGUGUACAGAAAUUGCAGGGGAAAUUUAAGAGGUGAAGAGUUCGAGAAAUGCUGUGAAUACAAAUUAUGGUAUCAACAUGGAGAAGUGGUUUUUUUUUUACUCCAGGUAGUAAUCCGAAUAUGAAACAAUUUGGUACAGAACCAUGUGAAGGCCUUGCCUAUAGAAAGCUCCUGAUUGGUCAUUCAUCAUCAACUGUGCCCAUCAUAACUACCACUGAACUCGAAUCAUAUGAGUAUCAGGGAUUUGAAGAGAAGCUGCCUAAAUGUUCCAAACAUGGGAAAAUUUGCACUGACAUCCAGUCCUUUCAGAAGCAUGCAAAGACAAAUCCUAGAAUGAAACCAUGAAUAUGCACAAUAUGGAAAAUUAUACUAUAGUUGCACUGAAGGAAGAAACACUGAAGAGAAAACCUUUGUAUAUAAGCAAGAUGUAAAAGCUUUCAGUACAGCAAGCUACGUUCAAAUCUGUGAAGGAAAUCAUAGUAGAAAGAAUACCUAUAUAGGAUCAAGCCAAGGAUACCAGUGAAUUUCUGGUUUCAGUUCAUUGGCACGUUUGUUAAUUACUAGUUGUUGCACAGCACAGAACCACAUCACUGGGCAGCUCAGAGCCUCGCACACGGUACUCACAGCCAGUCCAGAGCAGGGAUCCUGGUGCAGAGGAUGCCAACAUCAAGGUCUGCACUGGGACGCAGCUGAGAGGAGAUCCCCUUCCAAGCCGGAGUGUGCUGUCAGGGUUAUUUCCAUGCUCAGGGCACGACGGUCUCACUAGUGAGGGAUUCAAACAAUGAAAGAUAUAAUACAAUGCCUACAGAAACUCUUUGAAAAGAUACAUGAGAGAGAAGAGUUCUUCCCAACUUAUUGUGUGAGGCCAGAUUUCUUGGAUACAGAAAACUCAAAAAUAAAAUAAGAG